rnacentral:tRNA from 1 species
UCAAUGAAGCAUAAAUAAUGUUUAAUUUUAGGAAUUAAGGAAAGAUUUUAUAUCUCUUUGAA